rnacentral:rRNA from 1 species
UACGGGGGGGGCAAGCGUUGUUCGGAAUUACUGGGCGUAAAGGGCUUGUAGGCGGCCAACUAAGUCCGACGUGAAAUCCCCAGGCUUAACCUGGGAACUGCGUCGGAUACUGGAUGGCUUGAAUUCGGGAGAGGGAUGCAGAAUUCCAGGUGUAGCGGUGAAAUGCGUAGAUAUCUGGAGGAACACCGGUGGCGAAGGCGGCGUUCUGGACUGUAUCUGACACUGAGGAACGAAAGCCAGGGGAGCAAACGGG